rnacentral:rRNA from 1 species
UACGAAGGGGGCUAGCGUUGUUCGGAUUUACUGGGCGUAAAGCGCACGUAGGCGGACUAUUAAGUCAGGGGUGAAAUCCCGGGGCUCAACCCCGGAACUGCCUUUGAUACUGGUAGUCUUGAGUUCGAGAGAGGUGAGUGGAAUUCCGAGUGUAGAGGUGAAAAUUCGUAGAUAUUCGGAGGAACACCAGUGGCGAAGGCGGCUCACUGGCUCGAUACUGACGCUGAGGUGCGAAAAGCGUGGGGAGCGAACAGG